GACGGCGUUAGCAAUAGCAUCACUAAGCCCUGAGAAUGCAGCUGGAAAGGGACUUCGGGAUUCUACAGGACGAAAGCUUCCACUGGAAGGUGAGGGCACAAUGUCUGCUUCUUUGCAGUGAACCUGAUUUUCCUGAUCUGUACGGGCAGCCUUCCCUUCCUCAAGGGCACUUGGCAGGCUGCAAAGGAAGGAUGGCAUAAAGUCUUUUGUGCCUAGAAGAUGCUCAGUCACGGCACCAAUAUCUUCUCGUUCUCCUGAAAGUGGAAAUCCUAAACCUACAGAGAAUCAGGGAUGUGGAAAUAAAUUCUGCUCUUAGAGGCCACGUGACUGGUGCCCAGCCACUCAGCUGCCCAGUCUGGAAGGGGAAGAGUCACUCUGCUGCUACCGGCUUAAAGUGUAAACAUGUGCCCACAGUGUUUCUACUGACAGCACCCGAGGUGCUGGGAGAACAGCCUUCGCUUGCAGGAACAGUGGCUCUCCUGGAAAAGCCAGCUUGCUUGGCUGGAGUUGAGCCAGGCAAAUUCGCCCUGGCAAAUUCUCUAUCACUCCAAGGUCCAGGAGACUGGGAAAACUGGCCAGCGUCAGGGGGCCUCCCUCUGUACCAGCCUCCGGGUUCUUGCUCAAGGUGCUGGUUGGUGGCCUAGAAUACAACCGGUUUGAAUUCACCUCUUUCCACUGCCUGCAUUCACAGGACAACUUACCUCUCACCUUACCGUGUUUCUAGAAGAGCACAGUUCUGAAUUCAGAAGUUACCAAGGAAUCGGUUUGGACACUAUCCAGUGUUUAUGGGCAUCUUAAAUUCUUUGUUCUCUGUGGCCUAAAUGAAUUGGAAAUUCAAACUGGACUUCAAUCAAAUUUGGCAUAAAGACCAGGACAGCAAACUUGUCCACUCUUUCCACAAAAAGGUACUGGGUUCUAGCUAUUGCCAUAUUUGUGCUAGAGACGGGGAUUCCAGGAUAGACAAGACACAGUCCUGGCACUUCAGGUAUGGAGCACAGGUAAAUGAAACCCCAGACGGACAUCUGGAGGAAGGGCUCAGCCUUCAAGCCUGUUAAGUUCAAAACCUUGGCCUCCCUGUGCCUCAGUGUCUCCUUUUGCCAAGAGGCGUUGCUAACUGCUAGAGAGGGGUGUGGACACAAAUGAGGGUCUGCACAUCUCAGAGAACGUCUGGGCAGAGUCAUCAGAGGGUUGCACACAGCCCCGCUGAGACUGGUUGUUCUUGGGGAAUUUUCAGGAAGCUUUGAAGUGCCACCAGGACGAGGGAGGCUGCCCCAUCCUGGAGGUACAUUCACUUGUAAUUUACUCCCCCACGUGGGCUCUGGAGCUCCAGUCUCAUAAAUACAUCGCUUGCUCAAUCCUGCCGUGGAAGACGGACAGAGGGAGGGGGCUGGAGGGGAGGAAUCACUAAAUUAAGAAGGUCCCUGGGAGUGACUGGCCUACAGACACAACUGAGUCCCCUAAGUUUCUCUCCUUCAAACAUAAAUAUUUCCAACUAAGAUCACAGACUCCCUCCUCAUAAAAUCAAUGAAACCACAAGGGAAAAUGACCUCCCGCUUGACUGCACCAGAGAUAUCUCAAACGGAGUCACUUCCCCUCCCGCAGAAGCAACCGCUGCUGGGGUUCAAGGAUCUGAAACCCAGGCACUGCCACCGAGAAUCUGAGGCUAAGAAGAAGUCAGGUGGGUUGGGUACGUGUCCGUCUCAUUUGACUUGCUGUGUUUCGGUGACGGCUUCUGCGCGACCCUGCUGCAGCAUGAGACUUUUUUCCUGGAACCAGACCUGGGUUCAAGGUGCAGCUCCUCUAAUUACUGGCUGGGCAUUUUUGGGCAAAGUAGAAUCUCUCCAGCGCAGUCUCCUCAUCUAGUACAAGGUGGAUGAUAGAUAGAUAAUGUACAGUCUGGUCUGCCUGCCCUGCAGGGGAGGUGACGAGAUCAAGAGAACUGUCCGUGCAAAUGCUUUGUAAACCAUAAAGCCCUUGAUAAAUAACAGCUCUUGUUAUUAAAAGAUAAAAGCACCAAUCCUGCUAGUUAGUGUACUUGUUAGAACCCCUUACACUAUAAGUGACAGAACUCCUAACUUAAACUGGCUAAAACCGCAAUUGACUUAUGUAAUUGAAAAGGAUGGAUUCAAGUGAGGAUGAGGUUCGACAUCACCAAGGACCAGCUCCUCCCCAGCCCCCACAGUGACUGCACAUGUCACAUCUUGACAAGAUGCCAUCCAGAGGAGGGGAGUUCCUUUCCCCCAAUUUCCAUUAAAGAGAGAUGGAGGGGGAGGAAUGAGGGACCCUUUUUUUUUCCAGAGUUAGCCAAUUUCACUGGCUUUCUUUCCACAGCCAGGGGAUCAGAUAUGCUGAUUGGCUGAAGAGAAUCAAGGACCAUCCCUAGAUCUGGAAGCAGGAUCAUGAUGCCAACCAAACCACAUUUGGAGGUGUUACUUUAUCAGAAGAGUGAAAAAAUGCCAAGUUGCACAAACACCCAACCAGUACAGUCCGCCCCCUUUAACUGCCCAAUAUCCACACCCACCUGCAUCCCCAUAAAUACACCUCAAAAAAUCCCCACUCCCUCUAUGAACUCUUUUUCCAAAAGAGACAAGCCAUGAUUUCAUGUAGUCUGGUUCUCUAGGUGAUUCAUGGUCCUCGUGGAGGGAGCUGCUAUGGUCCUAUGUGGUCCAGUGAGGCUCAGUGGUAAAUUUAAUCACCACUGAUGCAUUUAGUAAACAGCAAUGGAGAACAGGGUAAUUGCACUAAAAACUCUCAUUUGGAAAAGGAAAGGACAGGAUACAACUGUCAAUGGUCACCCUGUCAUAUUCUGCCAGAAAUCACAUGGAUGUCCUUCCUCGAAACAAGUACCCGUCCUCCCUAGUGCUGUCCUCUGGAAGGCUCCCCUUUGCCCUUUGCCCUCUGUGGCCACUGCUGUCUCUUUGGGGAAAUCCCUCCUGUGUUAACCUUCACGGACCACGAGACAUGUGCAUCAAGGAUGGUGCCCCUUUUGGGAGCUGCACUGUUCUAUCAGCUCUCUUCCUGCUGCUGUGAGUCUGGGAGCCUGGAAAUCACCAUCGUAGACUGUCGUGGACCAGGCUUGUUCCUCUGGCAAAAUGAUGCCCUUAAAAAGUGAAUGGGAUCCUGCUUUAUCGCUUCUGGCAAAUGCCAUGGAUGGUAACAAGAGUCAGGGAUCUUACCAUGCCAUAGGCUUUCAACUAGAACUGCCUGGGGACAGCUGUGGCCUGGCAAUAGGCCCAGGUGCUCUGGCCAUCUUUUAGUAUCUGUCUUGGCCUCUACUUGAGAAUAAUCUAGAACACCAGGCUAGGUGGGGAUGACACGGAUGACCCUUUCUUUGCAAUAACAACUAAAAUGUUAGAAGCAACAUUUAUUGAUUGCUUACUAUGGGGCGGCACUGUUCUAAAGGCUGCAUCCUCACUGCAACCCUAUGAGACAGGAACCAUUAUCAUCUCCCCUUUGCAAACACUGGUCAUGGAGCAGUAAAGAAUCUGUUGUCACGCAGUGGGGCAGCAAUGCAAACCCAGGCAUGCUGGCUCCGUGGUUCCAGUGGAGCACUGACUGCUGUUGUGUUGUUCACUGGCUACUUCCUGUGGCGUCUUCCCAAGGGGUGUGCUGACUUCUUUGAGGCAUCAGGAGGUGCCUGGGAGAGACCCCUCCUGCUUGGUGUCUCUGUCCCUAUUAUGGAGCUUCUUCUAACUGUCUUCUUUCAAGCAACUUUCUUCUGCUAACUUUGGUUUGAGGGUAGAGAAUUGAGAUUUUCCUGGAUUCCCAGACAAUUGUAACUGUAAACCAUUGGCAAAAAGGCAACUCUUAGCAAAUCCGUAUUUUCUUCCCUUCUCUUACUGUUGGAUGGGAUCGGGUUUAGUUUAAUCGAAUCAUCCUUGGAAGACCUUGCUGAAGAAGUUACCAGCACACUCCAAAAUUUGAAAUUUUCUUAUAAUAUCCGUUAAUGUUAAAGCCUCAGGAAGCACACAGUAUGCAUCUCAAGGCUUCAUAGGCAACAGGUUAGCCCAUUGCUUGCUACAACAUGAAGAAGAAUUACUGAAUUCUCAUACCAAUUCUUUCCUUCACCCAAAUCUCGCUGCUUAGCCUUGUAACAUCCGCUUCUGGUAUUAGAUUAUGUAUCAAUUAGGAAUCUUUUGGUUGCGACUCAAACUAACUUAAGCAGAAAAGAAAUUUAUUGGAAGGCCACUAGGGGCUCAGAGAAUUGACGGGAGACUGGGGGUCAUGGCUGAGAAACAUCAACAGCGACCCCCUUGGGGGAGCCAGCUGGUCCGCGCUGCAGCCAGCCAAUCCCUGCUAUUUGCUCUCUGCUCAAGAUCCUGCACCCAGGGAAGGAACAUCAGAUUGGUCAAGCUCAGGUCACUUGCCCACCUGGGGGUAGAUAGGCCCCAGCAGACUAUGCUUGGCACAGAAGAGAUAAUUCCAGUAAAGGAAACAAGGCUGCUAUUCCAAAAGAGAAGUGGGUGCAGAGCAGUGGAAAUCCAACAAACUCCCCUUCCACCCAGCAACACAGAUCAUUUGGCUGCGUAAGCUGUUAGUGUGCAAUCCAGCAACAUUGUGGCAGCUGGAUCAGGAGGAGAGCAAGCAGGAUAGAGGUCUGCAGGAAGGCACAGCAGUUAGGUGAAUGUUAAGGACGAUGAGCGUUCCAACCAACACCUGUCCUUGGAUAUCACCUUCAGGGAUAGAACUCUAUCUACACUGGAUCUGAUUUACUGUGGGAAGACUUAGGCACUUAGGAGUUAAAAUGUAACAAAACAAACAUGUUGCUUUAGUGGAUGUAGUUUUGCCUGUUCACUUUGGGUGUUUGUGUCUAAGGGGUAAGCACAAUACAUUUAUCUAUCAGCAUGGAAUUAUGUUCUCAGAAACCAGUGAUUCUUAUUCAUUCACUGAUUUAACAGAUCACUUAAUGAGUUUGGUCCUGGGCACUGUCCAGGAGCUAAGGAGAUACAAACAUGGAUGGCACAAUCUCUGUUCUCGAGACUGAAUAUUCACAUAGUGACAGAAGUCGUAGAAAUACUUGUCUACUUGGAAGGAGUGAUUCAAUGUGAAGGCUCUGAAGUCAGACACAGAAAAGCACAGCGUUGGAUUCAAAUCCUGGCCAUGUGACUUUAGGCAAGUUAUUGACACUCUCCAAACCUCAGAUUUCUUGUCUCUGUAAUGGGGAUAAUAAUAGUUCCUAAUUCAAAGGGUUGUUAUUCUCCUCAAAUUGAUUAAUAGAUUUAAUGUAAUCCCAAACAAAAUCCCAGCAUUUUAAAAAAAACAUGGAAGUUGAAAAGCAGAGUGAGUCUAAAAUAUAUAAGGCAAUAAAAAGGGACAGGGAUGGCCAAGACAAUGUCAAAGAAGAACAGAGCUGGAAGGAUCAUACUGCCUUAUAACAUGACUUACUCUAAGUCUACAGCAACUAAAACAGUAUGGUUUGGGCCCAAGGAUAGACAAAUAGACUAAAAGAAUAGUCUAGAAAUAGGCUGACAUGCAUAGGUCAGUUAAUUUAUUAAUUUAUGACAAAGAUAAC